rnacentral:lncRNA from 13 species
CGAUAGAGAAAUCUCCUCUAUUAACAGCAACAAUGACAUGACUCUCCAAAUGAGCCAAAGCAGCUGGAAGAAACACAGGGCGAAUUGGCUCUUUCAAGACAGUGGAGAAUCUGAGGCUGAUAAGUUUCGUGCUAUUCAAUGGCAGGCUGCUGUGACAAGGGCUGCAAAUGCCACUCUUGGGACAUGUUAAUGAAGGCUCGGCAUGCACAACACGAGACAAUUAUUCUGUUCUCCCUGGCACCGGGUCCUCCUGGCAGGAGAGCUGCCGAGGUGGUUGGAAGGAGUUCAGUGCAUAGUUCAGGAAGAAAGCCAGAUGGAGAAGGAACAGGACUUGCCGUCUGGCUCAGGCAAUGCCAAACAAACAGACCAAGCGCUCGUCUGCUCGCCUUGCCUUGCCCUGAUCGUCGGGAACAUAUGCAGGAAAAGUAUGGUGGGCGGAAGAGGUGGAGACUUCCGGUGGCGGAUGCCAGAGGGAUCUGGCUGCUUCCGGUCUGCGUGUAGGCCGCCAUCUCUGAAGCUGCCUAGGCUUGGGGCCGCCUGCCCUAGUGGCCUGGAGAUGUUGUCAACAUAUGAUGCGAGGAGCCAUUCCAAGACAAAACAUGGCCAGUUACAAUAGGAGGAGCUGGAUACAAAGGGAAACCCAGAAGACACGGUGAAGAGUUGGCCACCAGGAUUCCAUAGUAGAGACCGUUCAUCUUCCAGCCCUCCAGAUUGAGUGUUGGAGCCAGCAGACAGGAGUUAUCCAACAAGUUCUUGGGAGAGGACAACCCUUCCUCAGUCCAGCCCAGGUGACAAGUGGUUCCUCUGGUCUAGGUGAGAAGCAGCCCAUCCUCUGGACAGGUGCCCAGGGUGGACCUUCCCCUGCUCUUGGACCCCAGUUAGCCUAUCCAGACUGAACUCUUGACCCUCUGUUUUUCCGUUUCUUGGCAGGAGAUGGCUCUGAAAGCAGAUACGUGGGUGGGCUCCAGAGAGUAUAUCCACACUUCAGGCAGGAAGUAGGAAGGACAGGGCCCAGCCAUGCUGUCCCCUUCUUUUAGAACAGCAGUGCUUUUACACAGGUCUCCUCCAGAGACCUCUGCUUAGUUCUCUUUGGACAGAACUGGAACAUGUGCCCACUCCUCAUUGCAAGGAAGCCUGGGAAAAAAGGAGCAGGAUGAUCAUGAUUGCUUAGACAAAAGGUUGCAAACUUUUUCUGGAAAGGUGUAGACAGAAAACGUUUUAGGUUUUGUGGGUCAUACAGUCUCUGUUGCAACUACUCACCUCUGCCUUUGUCACACAAAAACAACCACAGAUAAUAUAUAAAUAAACGUAUGUGGUUGUAUUUAAGUAAAACUUUA